CUACGGGAGGCACCAGUCGGGAAUAUUGCGCAAUGGAGGAAACUCUGACGCAGUGACGCCGCGUAUAGGAAGAAGGUUUUCGGAUUGUAAACUAUUGUCGUUAGGGAAGAUAAAAGACAGUACCUAAGGAGGAAGCUCCGGCUAACUACGUGCCAGCAGCCGCGGUAAUACGUAGGGAGCAAGCGUUAUCCGGAUUUAUUGGGUGUAAAGGGUGCGUAGACGGGAAGACAAGUUAGUUGUGAAAUCCCUCGGCUUAACUGAGGAACUGCAACUAAAACUAUUUUUCUUGAGUGUUGGAGAGGAAAGUGGAAUUCCUAGUGUAGCGGUGAAAUGCGUAGAUAUUAGGAGGAACACCGGUGGCGAAGGCGACUUUCUGGACAAUAACUGACGUUGAGGCACGAAAGUGUGGGGAGCAAACAGGAUUAGAUACCCGUGUAGUC
rnacentral:rRNA from 1 species